rnacentral:lncRNA from 1 species
GGUUCGGGUAGAGGUUCAGGUAUUAAAUGUGUGUUCAGAUAUGAAUCCAGCUGCAUUGGGGGGCUUCAGCUGAAACCAAAGUCCUUCAGUAUAGGGCGCAGUGAUGGCUUUCUAUUGUUUAGAAACUGGCGCAUCAGAGCUCAGCCAAUAACAGCUUUUACAUCAGGGUUUUUUUUGCCCUUAAAUUAAUAAAUUUACUGAUAGUCUUAAACAACAAUUCCCUCCAAAAUAACAAAGUUUACUCUUGUUAUCCUGUAUUAUUUUCAAAUUUAUUAUCAGGUCUGUUGUCCCUCCCUGCAACGCCAUUUUGAUUCCUAUAUGAAAGUCACAGACACUGGAGCAGGGCUUUUCUCCGACUUUUAAGGCAUGUUACCUCUCUUAAUGAACACUCUUUUUAUCAUCAUAAGAAAUUCGCUAUCUUUAUUAACGCCACUGCACAGUGCAUUACAGUGGACAGGCAUGCACUUUGUAAGAGCGGUGUUCCUUACAGGGUGCACUACAAUGGGAUACAGCUUAUUUUGAGACGAUCAUGUGUCCUCUAUUGUGCAAGUGAACAUGAUAAAAUUAUAUAUAUUAUAUCUUUAUGUAUUAAAUAUGAUUUCUUUAUUUUAGCUUUAAAUUAAGUAAAUUAAGGUGAAAUGAUUCGAGGACAUUGUGAGUCCCUCCAUCAUUCCACCUGUGUCCUCAGUGAGCUGAGGAUGAUUGUUUUGGUGUUUUUUCUUUGCCCCCCCUCUAUUUGCUGAGUGAGUGAGUGUGCAUGUGUCUGAGUGUGUGUAGGUGAGUUAGUGGGUUAGUAAGCACGGACGGAUUGAAUGAGUGAAAACGAGGAAGGAGUGAGGGAGGAGGAGAGUGAGUGAGUGAGGGAGUGAGUGAGUGAGAGCCAGGCUGAGGAAGGAGGGGGGGAGAUGAAGGGAUGAGUUGUACUAUGAAGCGCACGUGCUCAGGAGAGGGAGGGGGAGUAAAUAGAUGACCGGGUGAGGGAGUGAAUAAAAUCGGUGACGCGAUUAAAUGAUCGAUGAAAGGGUAAGGGAAUAUUUUUGACGGUGCAGAGUUUUAGUCAAAAUCUUAAGAAAAAUAAGUAAAGGCUCAUAUUUAAGUUGCUUGGUGAUAAUAUGAUCAAAAGCCUAUUGUUUGUUGGAUAGCACGUGUUCUCGGCUAGAAGUGGUCUUUUUGUUUGAUUUUUUCCUGCUAUAUAAUUUGAAUAACAGAUCACAUGAAUAGGGUUGCAGGCCCGUUGUUUUUGUCACCGAUUGUUCGGAGUGCUGUUAUUGUCUUUGGCCGCGUGCGCCCCGUUUAGGAGGCGGUGGUGAAAAGCAGCAGCCUAACACAGACUCUGUGGUUAGAGACCACUCCCUUAAUCCACCGACAGAGGGACGUCCUCCUCACUGGUUCUGCUCACCUCAACUAUUUAUUGUCAGUAUAAUGGGCUGUAACCUGAUGACAAAGACAUUUUAUUACCUCUCUGAUAAUAAGACAUAACUCUAGUGGUUGCCCCUGCAGAAGUUAUAGCCCACACCAAGAGGUUUAUUGCUCCAUGAUUGGUGUCAGAAGAUUAGUUGAUUAAUCUGAUUGGUUGGCUGACAGGGAAUAAAUUGGGUUAUUCAUUAAUCUUUUAAGCCAUUUUCAAGCACAAAUAAAAGAGUCCUGCACUUCAAAUAUUAUUCUAGUAUUCUACUUUGUUCCACACAUUACAGUGAUUUGUUCCCAUCACUGGCCUUUUCGAUUCCAACCCAACAUUUACAACAGGGAAUAAGUGAAAAGAAUUUAAACUUCAAAUUAAUUUUAUCACUAAAGAAUGUCCUAGUGGAUUGAUAGUUUGGCUGUACAACACAUAUAGCUCCCUAGCUGUCUUCUUCUCCAUGGCCUCUUUGCAAAAGUCACUAGUGGACCGACACUUUACUUGAUGUUAAACCUGACUCUGCUGUAUUUAACAGAAGGCAGAAAUGGGUUAAGCGGGUAACACAUUACGCAUGAAUUCAGCAGACAGCCACACCAUGCAGUCAGAAGUAUUUUAGUGUCUAGUCUCUAUAUUUAUCUGAUGCCAGUUUGUAAUUUUAGCCGCCUGAAACCCUCCCAAGUCUCUCCUGUCUCUGACCUAAAGUAUUCUGGGUACCAUCACCCACCAUGAUACUUAAUCAAGGCUGUGGAUUGGCCGGCAAAUGGUCCAAAACUAUUCAGCACAUGACCACUGUUCUUAGUUUCCUCUUGAGUUGCUUUGUAAAUUCUGAUAACAGCUGAUUGAGUCAGGUUUAUUUACUCGGGUAAAAGAAGAAGAUCUGACAGGUUUUAGUCAAGAUAAUUUCAUUAUCUUCAGCUUUGUACUUAUAAAGCAUGAUGUAGAUCAGGGGUAGGCAAUCAUGUGCCAUGGAGGGCCGAGAGGCUGCGGGUUUUCUUUCCAACCCAAAACUCCACCAGGUGAUUUCACUGAUUACCUUACCUCCAAGCAGAGAGCAGGGACUAAUCAGUGAAAUCACCUGGUGGAGUUUUGGGUUGGAAAGAGAACCUGCAGCCUCUCGGCCCUCCAUGGCACAUGAUUGACCACCCCUGAUGUAGAUGAAUGAAUGUAUCCACACAUUUUAUGAGCAGUUUCAGUUAAAAUGUUCGUUUUACACAUUACAAACAUCACCUGAAACCCUUUAACUCUGCAAUUACCCGUACAUUUGGUUACAACUCUUUUAAAAUAAGUUUGUUUGAGUUGGCUAAAGAUUUGCUGAACCCACUUGGCCCAUUACUAUGUGCACUUUUUCUGCUCGUGUACAAUUAUAGAUUCGAACAUUACUACCAAAUGAUGCAGUUUUGGAGCAAAAACAAAACCACAUUCACCCGCAUACGCAAAAAUAAACCCUAUGUAAGUGUUUUAUUGUCAGUUUUAAAUUGCAGCUAUUGUCAGUUUUUUCAGCAUUUCUUUUGUGCUGGAGGUUCAGACUUAAGUGCUCUUUUAACAGCAGAGGAAAUAUGAGGAGUUUUGGCCAAAAUGUGUUAUUUCUAGGGAUUUUUUUUAUGCAAUGGAUUGUGAAAUAAUGUUAUUUAAACUAACAAGGUUAAAAAAAAACCUUAAGU